rnacentral:rRNA from 1 species
GAUGAACGCUGGCGGCGUGCCUAAUGCAUGCAAGUCGAGCGAACAGACGAGGAGCUUGCUCCUCUGACGUUAGCGGCGGACGGGUGAGUAACACGUGGAUAACCUACCUAUAAGACUGGGAUAACUUCGGGAAACCGGAGCUAAUACCGGAUAAUAUAUUGAACCGCAUGGUUCAAUAGUGAAAGACGGUUUUGCUGUCACUUAUAGAUGGAUCCGCGCCGCAUUAGCUAGUUGGUAAGGUAACGGCUUACCAAGGCGACGAUGCGUAGCCGACCUGAGAGGGGGAGGGCCCACACUGGAACUGAGACCCGGCCCAGACCCCGACGGGGGGAACCAGAGGGGAUUCUCCCGCAAGGGGCGAAAGCCUGACGGGGCACCGCCGCGUGAGUGAUGAAGUUCUUGGAAUCUAAAAACUUUUUUAUGGGGGAAAAAAAAAUGUGAAAUAACCAAUGCACGUCUUGAGGUUCCCUAAUAAGAAACCCCCGGCAAACUCCGUG